UACGUAGGGUGCAAGCGUUGUCCGGAAUUAUUGGGCGUAAAGAGCUCGUAGGCGGCUUGUCGCGUCUGCUGUGAAAUCCCGGGGCUCAACCCCGGGCGUGCAGUGGGUACGGGCAGGCUAGAGUGCGGUAGGGGAGAUUGGAAUUCCUGGUGUAGCGGUGGAAUGCGCAGAUAUCAGGAGGAACACCGAUGGCGAAGGCAGAUCUCUGGGCCGCUACUGACGCUGAGGAGCGAAAGCAUGGGAAGCGAACAGGAUUA
rnacentral:rRNA from 1 species